UACGGAGGGUGCGAGCGUUAUCCGGAAUCACUGGGUUUAAAGGGUGCGUAGGCGGCCCUUCAAGUCAGUCGUGAAAUCGCUGGGCUCAACCCAUGCAAUUGCGAUUGAUACUGUUGGGCUUGAAUGGGGUUCAGGCAGGCGGAAUGUGGCAUGUAGCGGUGAAAUGCUUAGAUAUGCCAUAGAACACCGAUUGCGAAGGCAGCUUGCUGGGCCUUGAUUGACGCUGAGGCACGAAAGCGUGGGGAGCAAACAGG
rnacentral:rRNA from 1 species